AACUGCCUGGCAUAAGAGUCGUCGUCAUCAGCUUCUGGUUCUGGACUAAAAAGUGCCCCUGAAAUGGCCUCAUUAGCACGGCUUGGUCGUUGAAGGACUGCCAUGGCUUGAGGAGAUAAAAGUGACGGCGUGCAUCAGCGGAUCCUUUAGUGGGAGGCGUGCAUAAUUCAUUUUUGUCUCGAUGACUUAACAAGUCACGAUGGGUGAUUCUUUAACGCAGAAGCUCCCAAUGACACUAUAGAGACUCCCGUUGCAGCAACAGAAAAGACAACGCCACAGUCUCCAGCCCAGACCAGCUGUGCUUGUGUGGCUGCUGUGCAGGGGUUCUCUCGAGGAGUGCAGCUGCGUUUGCCAGAAUCCGUAGACGACUGCGUGUCAAACCGCGGACCGUCAAAGCAUCGCCACGAGCCGUGUGCAUGUGCCAUUCGGUAGAUGUGUGCGCGCAUCGCCUGGAUUCCCCCGAUCGGCGACAGAGCUGGACCUGAACUGCGGUGCUGAGAGGGGGGACAGGGAGGGGGAGAAGGUAAAGCGCGGCAACGGGACAGAGAAAAGGAAGAAGAACCAGCCAGCAAUAUGCUCGAAUAAAACCAGGAAGGAGAGGAGUCUCUGGCUGCCUCCCUGGUGCAAUGUGUGGCGUGUCGCCCUCUGGGGGUGGGGUUCUGUGAUGGUAACCAUGGUACCCGGCAGUCGCUAUGUCUGCAGCAAUCACGCGCAGGAGGAUGAGUCCAACGACCGCGAGGAGAGGAUUCUAGCCGUGUUGGGAAUCAUCGGAACUGUGCUCAACCUGUUAGUGGUCAUCUUUGUCUACAUCUACACCACUGUCACUUAAGACAGUCCAGACUCCUGCAGACUCUCUGUAAGAAGUUAUGCACUUUUGAUCAGUCGACAGCACAAUAUUUACACCAGUGAGACAAAACUUUCCCAAGAUUUUCUGUCAAAGUGUGUCUGAAGGUGAAAACACGGCGUGUUUACAUGGAGUCCUUUCUUUGAGGAUACAGAGGCUGUGAAACAAACUGUUGACUGUAAGCAAUGCACUUUAGUAACCUCCACUGCCAGGAACCAUUCUGAAAUGAUGAUAUAUAUUAUAAAGAGAUAACAUUUCCCUUUUGAAGCUUUAUACAAACUGUUUACAUGGAACUAACAUGUUCGUACCUGAGCACCCCUGAGGAGCGCUUCCUGGCUGUGCUGGGGAUGAUAGGGAUUGUUCUGAACCUUCUGCUCUUGCUGUUUGUGUAUAUGUACACUUCCAUAUGACACGCCGGGCAGAACAGGCCUUAGUGCCAGUCGCCUUUAUCACAGGGUCCAGUCCAAGCUAAUUAUAAAUUUAUACACAUUUUGAUGGUAAAAUUGGAUUUAACAUUUCAGAAAAAUACAUAACCCACCAAUCUUACCAAUAUUUUUCAACAUGGCGUUAGAUGCUAUAAAUACGCCUCUUGCAGUGGCUCAGCACAAC
rnacentral:lncRNA from 1 species